rnacentral:rRNA from 1 species
GUAGCGAAAUUCCUUGUCGGGUAAGUUCCGACCUGCACGAAUGGCGUAACGACUUCCCCACUGUCUCGACCAGGAGCUCGGCGAAAUUGCAGUACGAGUAAAGAUGCUCGUUAAGCGCAGAAGGACGAAAAGACCCCGGGACCUUUACUAUACCUUGGUAUUGGCGUUAGGCGCGGAUUGUGUAGCAUAGGCGGGAGGCUUCGAAGCGGGUGCGCCAGCAUUCGUGGAGCCGCAAGGUGAAAUACCGCUCUGUUCUCGUUUGACGUCUAACCUCGACAAGUCAUCCUUGUCAGGGACAGUGCCUGGCGGGUAGUUCAACUGGGGCGGUUGCCUCCCAAAGAGUAACGGAGGCGCUCAAAGGUCCGCUCAGCCCGGUUGGCAAUCGGGUGUCGAGUGUAAUCGCACAAGCGGGCUUGACUGCGAGGACGACGGUCCGAGCAGGGACGAAAGUCGGAGAUAGUGAUCCGGUGCCGGCGCACGGGCGCGGCAUCGCUCAACGGAUAAAAGGUACCCCGGGGAUAACAGGCUGAUCAUUCCCAAGAGUCCAUAUCGACGGGAUGGUUUGGCACCUCGAUGUCGGCUCGUCGCAUCCUGGGGCUGGAGCAGGUCCCAAGGGUUCGGCUGUUCGCCGAUUAAAGCGGCACGCGAGCUGGGUUCAGAACGUCGUGAGACAGUUUGGUCUCUAUCCUCUGCGCUCGUUGGAAUGCUGAGGAGGCCUGCCCAUAGUACGAGAGGACCUGGGUGGACGAACCUCUGGUAUGCCGGUUGUCGCGCCAGCGGCACGGCCGGUUGGCUACGUUCGGGAGGGAUAACCGCUGAAAGCAUCUAAGCGGGAAGCCUGCUCCAAGAUUAGGAUUCCGUACGGUCUCGAACCGUUGUAGCCCGCAUGUUGAACACGUGUUUGAUAGGCCGGAGGUGGAAGCCCCGUGAGGGGUGGAGCCGACCGGUACUAACGGGCGACGGCGACACAAC